rnacentral:rRNA from 1 species
AUGGCGCUCGCCUUCCUCCCACCCGCGCCCGCAGUCCACCAUCCGCCGCGCCCCCUCAAUCCCCCGCCGCUCGCGUGCGCCACCAACACCGGCUUCUCUUUCCUUUUCCCACCGUCCUCCCGCUGGCCCUCCCUGCAGAGGGCCAGCUCCGCGGCAGCCGGUGAUGGCGCCGGCUCGUCAGAAGCGCCGGGCGACAGCUCGCUCGACGCAGACCUCCUCAGGAGGGUCUCCGGGGUAGAGGACGCGGACCGAGCGUUGGACAUUAUCGCGGAGUCGCUGGGAGGCGGGGCUGGCUCCGGCUCGAAAGCGUCCCUCGACGCGUCCGACUGCAAUGCGAUAUUAGCGGCGGCGCUUGACCGGGGCAACGUCGACCUCGCGCUCUCCGUCUUCGACGCGAUGCGCUCCGGCCUGGCGCGAGUGGGGCGCUGGAGUUGGGCAAGGCCGGACGCGCGGACCUACGCGUUGCUGGUCCAGCGAUUGGCGGCGGCUCUGCGCGUUUCUGACGCUAUCAGGAUAGUCGACUACGUGUCCCGUGCGGGUGUAUCUUCUGCAGAGGAGGUCCCGUUUGGCAUAACUGUUCGCUGUCCAACCUGCAUGGUGGCAAUUGCUGUUGCGCAGCCUCAGCAUGGAACUCAGGUGGUUUCUUGUUCGAAGUGCCGGUACCAAUAUGAACUAUUUUCUGGAGACGUUACAAGCAUCGAGUCAGAAGAAGUGAGCAUGGAUAUUUCAGCUUUUGAGAAGGCCUUGCAAUUUAUAAAUGUGAUGAAAGAUGAUCUUCCAGCUGCCGUUCACUCUAUCGUGAUCCGGACACCCUCAGGAACAGCCCGCACACAUAGAUUUGCUACCAGGACUGUUGAACUGCCUGCUCAAGGAGGAGAAAGAGUGACCAUUUCCUUGGCUGCCCCAGCCAAUGCUUAUCGUCAGAUGGGUCCCCUCAAGAUUGCGGCACGCUCAAAAGGGUUUAGUCCAGGAGAACCCAUGUGCCUCACUAACCAUGUCAGUGGAGAGAUCUCAAAGUUGCUAAGAGUGCCAUCAAAGAAUGCGGGACCAUUGUUUCUUAGUCCUUAUCUAGUUGUCGGUGCUGUUGCUUUGCUUGCUUCUGGAGAUGCUGUUUCUGCAUUCAUUGAUCCAAGUCUCCCUAGACUAAUUACAGCAACUGUCAUUGCAUCGGCUGCUGUAGGAACAACACUAAAUCAAGUGAUCCUGCCAGAGACACGAAAGCUUCCACAAAAGGCGGUAGACAUAGUUGCCGUACAGCAGAAACUCUUAUCUCAAUAUGACAUGCUUCAAAGUCGUCUUAAGGAUCUGAAACGGCUUGUUGAAAAAGAGGUGUGGAUGCUUGCAAGAAUGUGUCAGUUGGAGAACAAGAUAUUAGCAGUAGGCGAACCAUCAUAUCGUGCUCGACGUGGUAGAGUGAAGAGGGUACGGAAAAGCUUGGAAACUACGCUGUUGGCAAAGAUUGAGCUGAUGGAAAGUUACGCAAAAUUAUGUUCUAUGAUUGAAAUUGAAGUUGAAAUGGACUCUGACGUUAUCGUUGCUGAAGCAGCAACCGGUGCAGAAAGAAUAUCAGAACAAAUUGAACAGUUGAUGGAGAUUGACAGUCUUGAAGAGCAAUGGCGUAUACAAGCUGAGGCUAAUGAUGAAGCAGAAAGGCUUCUUGGUUCAGAUUCUUCAGAAGCAUUGUCUGCUGAGCGUGUAUGA